rnacentral:rRNA from 1 species
GACGAACGCUGGCGGCGUGCUUAACACAUGCAAGUCGAACGGAAAGGCCCUGCUUUUGUGGGGUGCUCGAGUGGCGAACGGGUGAGUAACACGUGAGUAACCCGCCCCUGACUUUGGGAUAACUUCAGGAAACUGGGGCUAAUAUCGGAUAGGAGCUCCUGCUGCAUGGUGGGGGUUGGAAAGUUUCGGCGGUUGGGGAUGGACUCGCGGCUUAUCAGCUUGUUGGUGGGGUAGUGGCUUACCAAGGCUUUGACGGGUAGCCGGCCUGAGAGGGUGGCCGGCGACAUUGGGACUGAGGGACGGCCCAGUCUCCUACGGGAGGCAGCGGUGGGGAGUAUUGCGCAGUGAGCGGGAGCCUGAUGCGGCAGCGCCGCGUGCGGGAUGACGGGCUUCGGGUUGUGAACCACUUUCGCCUGUGACGAGGCGUGAGUGACGGUAAUGGGUAAAGAAGCACCGGCUAACUACGUG